GCGCCCUGGAACACUCGGGGGCGCCGCGGGACCCAGAAUUCCCGGGGCCAUGGGAGAGACCAUCGGCUCUAACGGAGGGGGGCGUCCCGGGGUGGUGGGGCGGAGUCUGUGUCGUCAAACGGGCAGGAAGUUCCCGUGAGUCUUUGCCAGGAUUACCCUCCCUUCUGUGAGGAAUGGAAUGUUCCGAGUCCUUAAAGGCCCGGGACGCCACAGAAGCGACCUUUCUAUUAUCAUGAUAAUGGAGGUAAGUGGUGUUUGUAGUUGGGGACCAGUAGCAGGCGGCAAAGGCGAAGGAGCUAAAAGCUUCUUAAUUCCUGGGAAGAAGUUCUCGGGAAGCUUCAGUGGGGGGCGCAAGGCGGCUCCCUGUGGCGCGUCUCCGGCCUUCGGGGCGGCGGUGGGGAGAGUCGCGUGGGGCCUAAGAGGGCCGAGGCUCAAGGCCCGCGCGCGUGUCUGUCCCCCUGCGGUCCCCGAAGGCCGGGCCCCCGUUCCCCGGACCCGGCGUGGGAGGUGCGCCAACCCCGGAGGACUGGGUGGCAGAUGCCUCCUUGCAGCGCCUUCAAGCCGGGAACGGCCUCCCACCCUGAGGUUGCAGAUGAGCGUGGGGUCGCCAGUGUGAUCAGAUCAGCAGCAGCCAAGUGUUCGAGGGAUGAGCCAUUGGCCUGCCUUGAGGUUGUGCGCUGAGGUGCUGAAGAAUGGUGAUGUGCAGCGUGCAGUUUUAAAGCCGGUGGCCGCGGCUCAGCCCAAGGAGCGGUAAGCUUUCACCUUACCUCCCCCCGUGGUAGAAUGAAUAAGCACCUAGUUUUGUUAAAAUUGAUUUUCAGAAAAAGGAUAUCAGAUGAUGAAAUCACCCAAAAUAGCUGGAAUUACCGGCAGAUUGUAUAGUGGUGAACGUAUGGUUUUCUGAAGAUGACCUUUUUAUGCUGUGAUUAACUGUUGGUUGGAGUAGAAAGUGACACUCAUACUUAGUUUCUUUGCAGGCUGUUUUCCCAGAGAACGGUCAGCCACGCUACAGCAGGGGAAGAACUUGUUUCGAGGACCAGUGGUCGCCAUCAGUUUGGACUGGAAACCCAGGCCUCAACAGUGGGUGUGGAAGCAGUGCUUACCUUGUGCGGAGAUUCAAAGGCCAUUCUCUUAACCAACAGAACCAACAAAUGUGUUUGGCAAAUUUUCUAGGAUAGGCACUGUUGGUGUCGUUGAAUUCAUGAGUUUUCUAAUAAUGUAUUACAAAUAACUGUAUUUUUAGCUCCCCUGCCCAAAGAGCUGCUAUACUUGUAAAUUUUGUAUAAAUUUGUUCUAUUGGGUGAGGGUCUGAGUUCUUAAAGCUGCAGAUAUAUUUCUUCCUGGAACUGAUAUUUCUCUGUGCAAUUACCACAAACUGCAAUAAAGGAUGGUCUUUAGUACUGGUUUUUAAAAAU
rnacentral:lncRNA from 1 species